rnacentral:rRNA from 1 species
GCUAUGUAUGGAAGGGAUAAUCGCUGAAAGCAUCUAAGCGAGAAGCCUACUUCAAGAUGAGUUUUCCAUUCAUUUAUGAUGAAGAUCCCUUGUAGACUACAAGGUUGAUAGGCUAGAGCUGGAAGCAUAGUAAUAUGUUGAGGUGACUAGUACUAAUAGAUCGAGGAUUUAAUCAUAUUU